UACUUGAAUUGGCUAAAUUGCAAGUGCAUUAAAUUGUUUUGCAUGGUCUUUCACAAUGAUGUUUGUUGGUAAAUGAGACCUUUUAGCUGUUCUCAUAUUUAAACAUGUAUCGAAGGGGACUUUAACUGAUCGUGAUGACGUCACAUGAUGCGUCUUGGCCCCGAUCUGUGGUGAUUUUGAAAAAUCGCAAGCUCCUCUGAAUAUUGUGGAGUUUCAGUUUAUUUUCGACAAAAUCCUUGUGGGACUGACAUGGGUUUCCUCCAGGCUCCCCGGUUUUCUCCCACCUGUUAAAAUCAUGCAUGUAGGUGGACCGGCUACACUAAAUUGCCUCUAGGUGUGAAUAAGUGUGUGAAUGUAUGUGUGCAUGGUGCCCUGAGAAAGGCUUGGCAUCCCAUCCAUGCCUCACACCCAGUGUUCCCAGGAUGUCCCACUUUAGUGAGGAAAGGUAGGGUUUAGUACUUUUAGUUAUGAGUGCAUGCCAGAUGUAGUGGUGCUCUGAUGAGUCGUUAGUCAUUAAUUAGAUCCAGUUCCACCCCGACUGGCGAUUCAUCUGCUGUCUUUGUUUGGAAAGGCCGGACACUGCGUCUUUGGUCCUGCAGCAGGUCCUGCACUGCCCUCUAGAGGCCAGAAAGAGUUUCCUCUGUGCUCUUCAUCUCCCUCUACUGGAGAAUGCUGGAUUUAUGCAUUUAAUCAGAGAGCUGUCACACAUGGAAUAAUGAAAUUUGUAUUUCAUUAGAAUACAACAGCAUUCGAAUAAAUUAAUAAAUUAGCAACUAAACAGUUGUGCAUCAUUACAGUAAAUCGCACAAUGUAUCAUCUCUAAUGAAGAAAUCCACUAUGUACAUGGACACACUGCCCUCCACCCUGACAUUAGUCAUGAUGUUAAAAUCAUUCAUACUAAUUCAGUUGUUUUUGAGCUCAUCUGAAACAUUGACCACUAACAGAUACUCCAAAGAUGAGCACAAACAGCACAUUUCCAAAUUAAGUAAAGUAAAUGACUGUAUGAUCUAUAUGUUAUGUGACAAACUUUAUUUUUACUUACAUUUUAACAAUUUUAUGGUACAUAAAUUUUUCAGCUUUGAUUAACUGAUUUAAUUACGAUGAAGUUUCCUGGUCAUACUAUAAUUUGAACUGUCAGGAAUGCCUGCUCAAAUCUUCAGCUAUCAGUAUACGGCUUGUUUCCCUGCACUGGAUUCUUUGUAAGUGCUCACGAGUAGGAGCUGUUGAACUUGUUGCUAGAGACUAAUGACAGAUGUAUGAAAGCUGCAGUCUGUAUCACUUCAUACUGAGGUUUUAAUAACCACCAUCUGUUUCUUAUCUGUGUUCAAUCAUUCCUAUCAUUCCUGUCUCCUCUAUGUAUGACCUGAGACUGUGCUGCACAAAAGCUUUGACUUCCUGCUCUUCGUAUAAUCCUUCUACCUAUCCUUUUAGCUAAUGCAUUGCAGUAUUUAAGGCCUAGUCAAAUCUUCUAUGGUACUUGCACGAUAACUGAUGCACUUGGUGCACUCCUGUCCAUUACGGACUGUAUGCGGACCAUGAAUUCUGGAAGAUUUUUUUUUCUGUCAGUUUGAGAACGUAUGCUCUAAUGGGUGUGUAUUGUAUGUAUGCUUGAUUGUAUGUAUGCUAUGGUAACAGACUUCCUCCUUCUCUAGACACAGCAAUCAUAAAAAAUCAAAUUUGCAUCUGUCUGUAGUAGUGGGUUGUGAAUAUUGAAAUACUGUUUUUCGCCCUCCUAUUAACCCUUUUGUCUAAUGAUGCUGUUUGGUGUGUUUGGAUGGUUGAUUCCUCCCUAUGAUGUAGGUUAACUGUACACCAUGCCAUUGUUUGGAUGUGAAGAAUUCUCAAAUCCAAAAUAAAAAAAAGACCUUUUUUGACAUCUUACAUUCUAAUCCUUCAGCAUUUUCAUGUUUUGAUUAUUUUGCAC
ensembl:lncRNA